GGCGAACGGGUGAGUAACACGUGGGUGACCUGCCCUACACUCUGGGAUAAGCCCGGGAAACUGGGUCUAAUACCGGAUAGGACCACUGAUCGCAUGGUUGGUGGUGGAAAGUUUUUUCGGUGGGAGAUGGGCCCGCGGCCUAUCAGCUUGUUGGUGGGGUGAUGGACCUACCAAGGCGGUGACGGGUAGCCGGCCUGAGAGGGCGUACCGGCCACACUGGGAACUGAGCCACGGCCCAGACUCCUACGGGAGGCAGCAGUGGGGAAUAUUGCGCAAUGGGCGGAAGCCUGACGCAGCGACGCCGCGUGGGGGAUGACGUGCCUUCGGGUUGUAAACCUCUUUCGCCAGGGACGAAGAGCAAUUGACGGUACCUGGAGAAGAAGCUACCGGCCAACUACGUGCCAGCAGCCGCGGUAAACACGUAGGGUGCGAGCGUUGAUCCGGAAUUAUUGGGCGUAAAGAGUCUCCGUAGGCGGUGUGUCGCGUCGGCCGUGAAAACUUGGGGCUUAACUCUGAGCGUGGCGGUCGAUACGGGCAUCACUUGAGUUCGGCAGGGGAGACCUGGAAUUCCUGGUGUAGCGGUGAAAUGCGCAGAUAUCAGGUAGGAACACCGGUGGCGAAGGCGGGUCU
rnacentral:rRNA from 1 species